AUUGAACGCUGGCGGCAGGCCUAACACAUGCAAGUCGAGCGAGCGGCGGACGGUUGAGUAAUGUAUGGUUACUGCCCGAUAGAUUGGGAUAACUACUGGAAACGUUUGCUAAUACCGCAUACUAUCGGAUAACCCAUAUGGGAUUAUCUAGUAGUUGGGGUAAAGGCUCACCUAGGCGACGAUCUCUAGCUGGUCUGAGAGGAUGAUCAGCCACACUGGGACUGAGACACGGCCCAGGCUCCUACGGAGGGAGCAGUGGGGAAGAUUGCACAAUGGGCGCAAGCCUGAUGCAGCCAUGCCGCGUGUAUGAAGAAGGCCUUAGGGUUGUAAAGUACUUUCAGCGGGGAGGCGUUACCCGCAGAAGAAGCACCGGCUAACUCCGUGCCAGCCGCCGCGGUAAUAC
rnacentral:rRNA from 1 species